GUCUUUCUCAAGUUGAGCAUCUCCUUCCCACUAACCUCUCCACCAAAUCUUCUACAGGUUGGAUGUUCAGCAGGACAAGCAUGCAGUAAAUGCAGUUAACAAGGGAAGAAGAAUCUGAUUGAUGCAAAGAGAGACAAACCUCAGCUGGCUCAUUUCUGUCAUGGAAAGCAAGUGGCUCAAAGACACUCCAGAGUCUCUUUCUCUCUUGAACAUUGACUCAGGCUCUCACGUAAGGAACCAAGGAGAUCCCAGGCAUCCCAGAAAAAAAUGGGAAGAGGAGGAAGUUCUUGUUGUGCCCUGGAAAGAGCAGAUCUGGCCAAGAAUGUGCAACUGACUCCCUUUGCGUUGUGAUCACCUGCAGAUCUCGAAAGUGCUUCUAGAGAGAAACACUGCUUCCCAGCUUUCAUUUAAUGAAAAAAGAAGCAAGCAGCAUUAACACAUGAAGCAAAAUCCUCUGAGAUGUUCCCAUCAGCUCAACACACACAAAAAAAACUUCAGCGGAUUGAGCAGUGUGCAAAAAUACAUCCAAAGGAUGCUCUUCCACAUCAAACAGCACUGGCGUGCUCUUGCACAGGCUUCCAGAUGGUCCAUCUUUGGAGCCUUUUCUUUUAAGCGGAUAGCCUGAGGCACAACAGGACCAUAUCACUGCUUUAUUUAGAGCACAGAAAAUAAAAAGUCCUCCUUAGCAAAAAGAAAUUAUUUUUCUAAAAAUAAAGAUCAGUUUUCUCAGAUUUCCUUUUUAUUCUUCUUCCCCACAAAAACACAUUAAAGAGCACAGCUCUGCUGAGGUUAAAAGAGCCUCUUGGUGGUUGAUAGCUCCUGUAUUGCAGUCCUUAAUUCACAGAUACAUCUUUUUCUUUUCAAUUCUAAAUUAUGCACUCUGUGCUCGACAACUUCAAGUGCACCAGAAUGGGAUAGUUUUCGAGCCCAUACACUGUGAAUCUGUUUCUUAAGCAGCUUUCAAGGUUUUCAGAAAGGAGCCAUUAAAAUGAUAUCACACUCCAUUUCAGCAAAACAAAAAUACUGAUUUGUUGGGGUCUACUGUGAAACCAAUUGACUUUGGGAGGAAAAUCUUAAAUCAUGAUAACUAUAAACUGCUUAAAUGUGACAGGCUGACCACAGAGGUUGUGGAGUCUCCUUCUUUGGGUCUGGAUACUGUUCUGUGCAACCUCCUGUAUGGAAUCUGCUUUAGCAGGGGCUGGAACUCAAUAAUCCUCCCUUCCAACUCCUACAGUUCUAUGAUCCUGUGCUAUUAGAACAGGUCAUAAUAUCACAGAAUAUCAAGGAAAUAACCCAGCCACGCAUCUCCAGAGGAUUCAGGGCUGUGAACUGAGCAAGUUGUUUUCCCCAGCUCCGUGUUCUGAAUGGCCAAACAAGCACUUGGUGUUUCUGCAAGCUUUAUACGAAAUGGGCCUUUGUCUCCGCUGAUGUCACCACGUUUCAUCACAAGUUGAUAUAGAGCAGUAAAAUCCAACAUUACUACACUUGUGCAGUCCAACAAUGCAAGACCUGCAUGUUAAAUCUGCCUAGAACAUGCAGUGUUAAGAGUACAGUAGUGUUGUCCCACCCAUGCCCAGCUUCAGACUUAUUAUUUGAAUGUGUUAUCCUAGCUCUAAUCAGAAGAAGAAGAAGAAUGGCACAAACCUCACUUUGAUAGUGGUUAUUUUCAAUGUGGUCUCUGAGGUCUACAGGAAAAAUGACCAAGGGGGUAAUAAGGAAGGGCAUACAUGUGAGGUAUAAAUCAAAACACUUUACUAGUUCUCUGUUCUUCCUUCAAAUAUUUGUUUCACCAUGAAUCACAGAAUCAUAUGCAGAAUGGAGGGAUGGGUCUAUCAAAGAUGACCAGGGUCUGGAUGGGCAUAUCCCAGUCAUGCCACAGGUCACAGCCAUAGCUUCAGUGCAGUGUGCUGAUGUGCUGGGGCUCCAAGGCACAUCUCCUCCCAAAAAUAUACAGCUUAAGCAGACACCUGGGAAGACCUGCAAGAAGCUUUUGGUUUAGGAACCUUACAUGCAAUCCUCUCUCACACUUGGAUUUCCUUGAGAGAUCACUGCUGCAGGAUGCUAAGAUGAGCAACAUGAGUCAAUCAGAAAUACAAAGCCAUUCAGUCUCAACAAAAUGCUUGGUUGUGAGUCAAACAAUACAAGUUUUGAAAACUAUUUCAGACUAAAUUCUUCCUCAGGACAUGGCCUCCAAGGGUGAAAGCUUGGUCCCACUGAGGCCAAGAGCAAAAUUCCUGCAGACCUCAGCAGGACCUGGCUCGUACCCAAAGCAAACUUUUCAAGUCCCAGCCAAACUCUUCAGCUGCAGACGUUCAUUUCUAUUAUUUUUGUAGCCUUUUUGUCCUGCAAAAGGGAUCCUUCUGCAUUGUCCAUCCAACAGUCAUUAACAAGAUGGAAGAAAUAUAAUUUGCUGUUGAAAAAAAAAUCUAUAAAUUAUUUUUUUCAAUUAGAAAUGAUAUGUCUGUAACAUGGUCUCCAAGAGUGUCAGUGGAAGUCUGGUCAAUGGAAGAGACCUGCAUAGCUCAAAACCUUCUGGGACUGGGAUUAUGCUCUGUUCUAUUUCACCUAACCCUACAGGAUCCUGCAUCUGAAACAGGGGCCUUCCAGGAACUUGGUAAAAGCAAUUAUAAACACAAGUAUUUUAAUUUUAGCCCUGUUGACUUUCCUUCUGCCAUUAUUGUUUGUCAUUCCCAGCAGACUGAAGGCAUUUUGCCUCAUGGGGAACUGCACUGUAACGAUUUUAAAGCACACUCCAAUUUUACAUUUGGAACAACGUUAACAAGUAAAACAUGAACUGUCAGUUUUACAACAAGUUUUUUAACUUCUGAUUAUUUGUUUUAAAGCUUGCAUUCCUGAAAACCAGUAGUUACAUCAAUUCUCCUUGGUGUCAGAAGAAAAUGUCUAGGACAUGCCUACGGGGUAUGGCUCAAAAUGCUGACCCCAAGCAUGUCGGCAAAACUAGAAAGCAAAUAGACCAUGUUCUCUGAGAUCACCAAUGGUCUAUCUGGGUCAUCACAUGCUGGCAGUGCUUCUCGUGUUAAAAAGUCAAGAAAUUGUGCCAGAAGAUUUACCUACUGUACGACCACAGGAAUAUAGUCUAGACCAGACCUGAGUUCAGAUCUCAACUCUCUACCGAUACCCAGACAUUUUCACCAUAUGCUUGUAAUUAUGAAAUCAUUCUCAUCAGCAAGAAACACAAUACACUUUAAAGGAAAGAAAAUAAACUAGGCCUUAAUUUUACCUUCAUCUACUCCCCACACACUCUGACAUUUUUAUGCAACUGGAACAGGGACUCGCCCUUCUCAUUUCUAUAUGCCAAGUUGGUUUGCUGACACAUUAUUAGACUCCACAAAUCUCUGGCUUUGUCCAGGAAAGAAAGUCAGGCUCCAGCAAAAGCAAGCUGCGUUGAACUUGCUCAAACAUGCAUAUUUCAAGCACUGUCUUCUCCCACAGCCCAAAGGACAUUGCGACACCAUCCAGAUAAAAUUUUAGUGCAACAUGCCAAAGCAGUUGCUUACAUUAAGGUUUGGUCCAAGCCACUAAAAGUAGAAGUGAAUGUAGAUCUCGAGAAACGCAUGGCUACUUUACCCUCUGAGUUUUCCAAAGCUUUUGCCCUUGGACACAGGAACUUCCAGCCUUCACGUCAUGGGGCUGCCCCUUGCCAUUGAGGUCAGGUCAAAUGAUUCCACUAGUAUUGGCUCCAGCUUUUCUCUCUUCUGAUGCAGCACCUGUGUGGUUACAACUCUGCUUAUGGUGACAAGCAGUAAGUGCUGAAAAUUUUAGUGAUACCAAAUGUGCAUCAUUUUGGCAUGUCUUGAGUCCAUUCAACCUUUCAAAUUGCAGCACGGAAAGAGAAUGGGCAAGCUGCAUCUCUGAAACAAGCUGGAAGUACUACUGAUGACUAUAAGAACCACAGCUGUUUCUUUUGAAGGUCUUCUAGUUCUCCAAAAGAGAUACAAGCAACAGAAGACAGGUCAAGCUUGAAAGUAAGGCUACUAUAGACCCAAACACGUUCCUGUAGAAGCAGCUGCAGGAUGGCCCAGAUGCAUGAACUUAAUUCUGAUUCAAAUGUGCUUUCAGAGCAGUUUGGCACAUUAGAUAGUAUUUGGUCAUGUUCACACAUACAUCAGGAAGUUUCUAGUUUGCCAGAUACACUGGCCAUCUUGUAUUGCUUUCAGGCAGCCUCCCUCAUCUGGCUUUCACAAUAUAACAGAAUUCCUGAGAAUAUUUUGCUGUAAAACUAAGCUUUGCCAGAGGGAGAACUUCACAUGCAAAUGACUUCUGCAUCACCCUUGAAGAACCAGUCCACAGAGCUACAUAUAAUGUCUCCUUCCUCUAUCUGUUCACCUCAGAUCAACCCCUUGUAGGAAAUUUUAAGUACUGCAGUCAUCUGUGAGUCAUUCGUGGCAUCUAUGCCACGCAUAUAACCACCUGAAGUGAGCACCAGAGCCAAGCUUCAUGCUCUGGAAGAACACGCUGUUCCCUCUGUCGCACGUCUUAGUCCUUUGGUGGCUGCUGUAAAGGCCCUUCCUCCUGCUACGGUCACAAAGAGGAAAGGAUGGAAGACAUUUUAUAUAUAUAGUUACAUUCACAUUAUGUGCACAUGCAUAGUUGAAAACAAAUGAAUGUACCAAAUAAAUGGGGAGUUUUUGUAGAGCUUGUUAUCUCAAAGUUGAUUUUCCCUGGGAUCAAAGUCCAACUUCUCCCACAGCCCAAACCACUUUCUGACCAAAUUCUGAAAAUUCCUGUUCUUCACCCAAAAAGGAAAACAGGCAGCUCCCACUGCUUUCUAAGCCAUGUGUUUUCCUCUGUAGGAGAAACCAAUUGUAUUUUUGACAACUUCCUCAAGUUAGCGGCAGUUGAGAAGCAGAUGACGUCUGUGGUAUACCAAAACCCCAAUGCCCUGACGCACAUUUGCCCUGGAUCACGAAAUGAGUUGCAAAAUGAUGACACCGUGAAAAUGCCAGAUAGCAUCAGCAAAAGCCGGGAUUUCUUUGAAGGGAGCAGCCAUUUUCCCCUCCCAAAACAAGCUAAUGUAUGAGAACGAGGAGAACACAUGUCUUACUGAUGCAACCCCCAUGGUGAGCAGGUUGUAAAUCUCCACUCUAAGCAGGACAUCAGCUUAUAUGCAGGAAUAAGGGCUCGGAGUACUUGAGCAGUUGGCCACAGACGCACAAACUCUCACACCUUAAGAAGACACCAAAUGCUUUCCACCACAAUGGAAAUAAUAAAGUCAUUUUCUUUUUUCUUUCUUUUCAAGUGCUGUUGAGGGUUUUUCCUCAACGAAAUGGUGUUC
ensembl:lncRNA